rnacentral:tmRNA from 1 species
GGGGAUGUAUUGCUUUGACGUAUGGCGCUCAUUAACAUCGGCAGGUCAUCUUUGAUAACAGAUGUAAAACAGAUCAAAACAUAACUGCAAAUUCAAUUCGCAGCACAGUUGCAAAGGCAGGUAAAGCAGUCGCUGACUUCUUCACCAUCACCCCAGCAACUUCAGCUUACGCUUUAGCGUAAUAUGACAUUUAACAUUUCACUCUCAUGGGUGGUGAGUGUUAGGUGGAAACCCAGCCCGUGUGACUUGAUGAAUUAUUUGGUUUAUUCAUCACUAAGCAACUAACGACCGAGGUUGUCUCUGUAUGGUUUGGUCAUUCACCGCAGCGACAAUUAACCAAAAAUGUUCUAUACCUGUAGAUGCUGUUUUUGUUCACAUACGGACGGGGGUUCAUUGCCCCCCAUCUCCACAA